ACAUACGCAAAAAAAGCGAAUUAUAACCGAACAUGCUAAACGUAAGUGAUAACUCGUGGAAAGAAAUUCGACACAAACGCAUUGUUACAUUUACACCGAGAUUGCAAAAUUGCCCAAUAAAUAGAUACUACAGAAUUAACCGAAUUUUGUUACUAUGCGUUGGUUUAUGGCCGUAUCAAAAGUCUAGUUUCAGAUAUAUCGCAAUAGCAUUUAUGACUAUAAUGCUUGUAUCAGGCGUAGUGUUCCAGCUAACGACUUUCAUCACAAGAGAAUACAAUAUAGAUAUUCUUCUACGUAUUCUCGCGUAUAGCAUCCCAUGGCUAGGCUAUACAUUAAAAUAUAAUGUUCUCUGUUUUAACGUGAGACAAAUUCGAAAUCUUAUGGAACGAGUGCGCUGUGAUUGGAAUGAAUUAAACAAUACGCAAGAAAUUGAAAUAAUAAAAGAAUAUUCAGCUGUCGGGCGAUUCAUUACAUUGGUUAUAACAUUGUUCAUGUAUACAUGUAUUUCUUGCUUCAUUCUGGUACAGUUUUUUACAAACUUUCUGUUGAACAUCAUAUCUAGUAAAAAUGAAUCUCAUCAACUUCCAGUCCUAAUUGAAUGUUUCAUAGAUGAGCAGAAAUAUUUUUUUCCAAUUUUGUUGCAACUAUGCGUUGUUGCUAUAUGUGGUCUAACCACGGUAAUAGCUGCCGAAACGAUUAAUACAUUAUACGUACAGCAUGUUUGUGGGUUGUUUGAAAUAGCCAGUUAUCGCAUAGAACAAGCAUUGCACAAAGAUUCGGUAAAAAGUAUUGCAUCUUCUACCAAAAGAAAUUCGAUAAUAUAUCAAGAAAUAAUCAAUGGAUUUAACAUGUAUAUAAAAGCAAAUGAAUUUGCGAACUUAUUGAAGAUAAGUUUUAAAUGGCCGUAUUCAUUACUAUUACCCUUAGGGGUAUUGUCAUUGAGCAUUAAUCUCUAUCGGUUUUCUCGGUUGAUAGACGCCAAAGAAUAUUAUGAGAUGAUUCUUAGUUUUAUGUUCAUUAACGGCCAUUUUGGAUAUGUUAUUCGGAAACUAUUUAGGACAGAAAAUAAUCGAUCAUAGCAGCGACAUCUUUUAUAAAACAUAUAACGUGCAAUGGUAUAUAGCUCCGUUAAAAGCGCAGAAGUUAUUGCUGCUUGUGAUGCUAAGGGGCAUGCGACAUUGCUCUUUCGUCGUUGCUGGUUUAUUUAUUCCGUCGUUCGAAGGAUUUGCUACGCUUGUAAGUAUGUCAAUUUCAUACUUUGCGAUCAUUCUUUCCCUCUUUUGAUUAUUUGCAUAAAAUAAAAAUCGAAACUUAAAACUUUGACGUAGUUACGACAUACUUAUAGCAUACGCUUCAAAUAAAAAUAUAAUAAUACAUAUGCAAUUAAUCUGCUGAAAAGUUUAUUGUAUCUAAAAUAAAUGUAGAAAUAUAAUGUAGUAUUACUUUAAUUUUUUGAUUAUUCUAUAGAAUACGAUUAUUAUUUUUAUUCACAAUAAAGUUACAAAAAGAAGUCUUUUUGUUGUUAUUACAAGAUAAUCCUGGUGACAGAACAUAAAUGCGAAAACUUGCGUCAGAAAAAUGAAGAAAAUUUUUUAUAUUAUUACUAUCAUAACGUAUCUUAAUUAGAUUUUGUAGGCGUGAUAUUUUUGCCAUAUCCAUAGAUGUAAGAUCUGCAUUUCUUUCAAAGUGAUAGAGUAUGUGAACUGACAGAGUAUGUGAACACAGUUUACUCAAUAUAGGAUGAGGACUAAAAAAUAUCACGAAGUUUUAUCUUGAUUCUCACCGAUCUCUAUUUCUCGAUUCAAUACAAAAA